AUUGAACGCUGGCGGCAGGCCUAACACAUGCAAGUCGAGCGAGCGGCGGACGGGGGAGUAAUGUAUGGGGACUGCACGAUAGAGGGGGAUAACUACUGGAAACGGUGGCUAAUACCGCAUACUAUCGGAUAACCAAUAUGGGAUUAGCUAGUAGGUGGGGUAAAGGCUCACCUAGGCGACGAUCUCUAGCUGGUCUGAGAGGAUGAUCAGCCAAGCUGGGACUGAGAUACGGCCGAGACUCAUGCGGAGGCAGCAGUGGGGAAUAUAGCACCAUGGGCGCAAGCCUGAGGCAUCCAUGCCGCGUGUAUGAAGAAGGCCUUAGGGUUGUAAAGUACUUUCCGUCGGGAGGCGUUACCGACAUAAGAAGCACCGGCUAACUCCGUGCCAGCAGCCGCGGUAAUUU
rnacentral:rRNA from 1 species